ACUUAUGUGCAGUGAAGCGUAUCCACCACCGCCGCCGCCACCGCAGGAUCCUCUUAUGACAUUGUUACAACAUCCAUUUACCAUGAUGAUCUCUGGUCCAACAGCGUGUGGGAAGACAUCAACGGUCAAAGAUUUGCUGCAGAACCAUACAGCUAGAAU